rnacentral:rRNA from 1 species
UACAGAGGUCUCAAGCGUUGUUCGGAUUCAUUGGGCGUAAAGGGUGCGUAGGCGGCGCGGUAAGUCGGGUGUGAAAUCUCGGAGCUUAACUCCGAAACUGCAUUCGAUACUGGCGUGCUUGAGGACUGGAGAGGAGACUGGAAUUCAUGGUGUAGCAGUGAAAUGCGUAGAGAUCAUGAGGAAGACCAGUGGCGAAGGCGGGUCUCUGGACAGUUCCUGACACUGAGACACGAAGGCCAGGGGAGCAAACGGGG